GAGAGAGAGAGAGGGGCGCAACAGCCGCAAACAGUCUCCUAGACGUAGGGUUACACUGAUGGACCCAAUUGUAGGGCUUCUGCACUGAGUCCUGCCCCUCUGCCUUUCCUGCCAUCCCAGGUCCCUUCCCCUCCUGAAGCAGCAGUCUCUUCCAUCUCCCUCUCUGGUCUUUUCUCCCCACCCCUUUCCUCUGCACCUAACCUCCUCCCCUCCAUCUAACCCCACCUUCACUCUCUUCUCCGAGCGGGGAGGGCUAGGGGGUGGGGAAAGAAAACCCCCAAAUCCCCAGCCCUGGGCAGAGAUGUCGAAGAAACGCAAAGCCCUCGAGGGUGGAGGAGGUGGCGGAGAACCCCAGCUCCCAGAGGAGGAACCCACUGCCUGGUUUGGGGACAGCAGCGAGGAGCAAGUUCUUUAAGUUAGAAGUUCGACACAGGCCUCACUGGGCUAAACUCAAGGUAUCGGCAGGGUGGUUUCUUUUGGAGGCUUCAGGGGAGAGUCCGUCUCCACUUUUCCAGCUUCUUGAGGCCGUCUGCAUUCCUGGGCUUGUGGCCCUGCUCCAUCUUCCAAGCCAGCCACAGCAGAUUGAGUUCCUCUUACUCAGCAUUACCCUGACCUCCUCUUCUGCAGACAAGCCUUCCUCGUCCUCCCUCUUCUGUCUCUACCUUUGUCUCUACCUGGGGCUCACCAAGCUCGUCCAGGGUAGCCUCCCGUCUUUAGAUCCCUAAGUUAAUCAUCACGUCUGCAAUGUCUUUUUUGCCAUGUGAGGUAGCAUAGUCAUAGGUUCCAGAGUUUCGGUUGUGGACAUCUUUGCUGGGGCAUCAUUCUGCCCGACCACAAGCAUGUACCCCGCACUCACCGUGGGCGGCAGUUAGUUGGUAUGUGCUUUAUUUCUCCAUCUGUAAACCGCUGAUGAAGAAUGUGAUUUCUUCUCUCUACCAGAUUCACCUACCCUGAUCCCAGUGUCUUAGUCUGUACAGUGUGACCAUAACAGAAUGCCUGGGACUGGGUAUUUAAUUUAAAAAAAUAGAUUUAUUUAGGUCACAGUUCUGCAGGCUGGGAGGCUCAAGGGCAUGGCCCUUGCUUCUGGCAAGGCUAGGGCUUUUGUGGUGCUGCGUCAAAACACGGUGGAGAAGGUCAAAGGAGAAGUGGACAAGAGCAAAGAGAGGACCCAAGGGCCUCCUGGCUCUGUAAAAAGCCACUCGCAUGCGACUGUUCCAUUCCAUGGGGAACCAACUCAGUCUCACCAAAGUGAGCCCUUACUUCUGUGAGAACAGUGCUGGGCCAUUCAUGAUGGAUCUGUAUCAAUGAUUCCAACACUCCCCACUAGGCCCCACCUCCCAGCACCUCCACUAGGGGGACCAAAUUUCAUCAGGGGUGUGGCAGGGACAAAGCAACCAUAUCCACACCAUAGCACCAGUCUGGGGGCUGGAUGCACCUAAAAAGGGAACAAAAAGCCCAGAGUUUAUCCAUCCAGCAGUCAAAUACCAAAUAGAUCCAAAAAGUUGGACGAUGGCGAAGAACAGGCUGAAAGCAUUGAGGCGGUCAGACCUCAGGCAAAUUCAAGGCCAAUAGCUGGCACCAUGGUGGGAAGAUGAAGCUUUGCAUAAACAUAAGUUCAAUCAUUAUUUAUCGUGUAAGGACUUGGUAACUGAAAAAGUGCAAAGACGGUCCAAACCUCCUAGAUGAUGCUUCCUUGCAGGGUGAACUUUGGUAAACACUGGGGGAUGGAGAAGAGGGGAGUCUGCCUUCCAGGCCUGUCAGUUGCUCUUACUUGUCCUGAGAACACAGGGUCUGAUAGAGCAUUUGUUGGUCGUCUGCAUGGCUGUGACAUUUUACUUUAUUAUUUCUACCUACCACUUUUAUAAGUAUUUUUUUUCUCUAUAAAACAGGCUUUUAUAUAACAUUUGGAAUACAUAGCAUUACAAAUUAAUCACAUUAAAAAUUUACUCUCUGUUCCCUUAUGAUACAUUUAUUUUGAUAUGGUGUGAAGAUAAUCAUUACAAUCUGUGUUAAUUACUUUACACACUGGCAUUCACUAAACAUGAAAAUUUUCAAUGUUUG